UCCUCUCUCUGUAAAUCUUCCAUUUCUUUCAACUUCUCAUUCGUUCGAUUUUGUGCUCGACCAUUUUGUUCCCAUCCAGCCGUUUAUCUGAAACCAUCCGCAUCGAUUUUUAACAAUUUUAAAUUAUCGAUGUCCGCACUGGUCCGCUGGUUGUCAGAAAACCACAUACAUCCCAAAGAUUGUAAACUGGAUAAGCGUUUGUUCUUGUGCGGCAACAAAAAGGACUUGCAUCAAAUUGGAAAACGUCUGCGAUUCAACACCGCAUUGUCCGGAUAAGAAGGACGAAGGAGACACUUGCAAUGAUAAAAACUUCACUUGCGCUACUCACAAAUGCUCUCACGAUUGCGUUCAACUACCGUCCGGUCCCAAAUGUCUUCGUCCCAGCGGAUACAACACCAUCGAUGAUAAAACUUGCCAAGACAUCAACGAGUGUGAAACUUAUGGUAUUCUCUUUGCAAAUCUAUUCGUACGUUUAUAAGUGCUAUAUAAGAAAGGUUAAAAUAUUUCUAAAAUUAA